ensembl:lncRNA
AGUUCACACUUAAGUAUAUUCUUUUAAAAUGCAGUGUAUACUUCAGUUUUACAAGGGUAUAUCUUGCAGUUGCUGCUUUAUUUAUCAUAAUUGCAACUUCAUAUCUCAUAAUAAGACUCUGUUUCUUAUUUUAAACUUUGUUUUGCAGUUACCGUUUGAUGCAGAAACAGACUUUGUUAAUGUUUAAAUGGCUAAAAAUUCCAGAGAGUUAAUGUGCAGCAAGAUCACAAACAUGUACUCCACUCAUUUUCUGCCCUUUCUGAAAUACUGCUAAUUUAAAUGUGAGUUCUAAUGCAGUAAAUGUAAUAAAUUAUGAUUGUAAAUUCUGAAAAAAAUAAUGUGUGAUUAAUGAGAUAUAUUGCAAGAAGCCUACUUGUAUAAUUACACAUUCAUUAGAAUUUAUUUUUAAUGUUCUGUUAGUAAUGUUUGUGUGAAGUAAAUCAUACUUAAAAAUGAUGCUUUAUUGGCCCACAAACAUCAGCAUAAAAUCAUUAGCUAAACAUGUCACACUAUCAGUGGUGUCACAAAAGGACAUGAACCAUCAGAAAAAUGACACCUCAGUUUUCAGUUUCUGGAAAUAUCACAGUUAGGUAUAUCACGGUUUGUUGGUCUUCCCCUGUGCAGAAAAGAGAGAGAGAUAAACAAUUAAACUCUAAUAAUCAUACAUUUCAUACUGAGUCAUCGAGUUUCUCCUAAUUUUGGAAUGACAUAAAACUGUAUUGUGGAUUAUUACUGUGCUAAUGCAUUUGAAAUGGUUCUCCCCUUUACUAUUCCUAUUCAUCACUAUGUAUCAUUAAGACACUCAACAAAAUAUUUGGAUUCCCUUCUAGUGUGUCUAAAUAUUUAAAAUUGGAUGGCAAAAAAGUUCCUAAUUUUAAAUUAAGAAAAGACAGAGGUUAUUGCUUUUGGCCAGCCAAACGAUUCUACCAAAUUACUUUUAGACUCAAGCCCAUUGGCACCAUAUAAACAUCGGUAAGAGAUUUGGGUUUUCAAAUUUAAUAUAAUUGUAAAAUAUGUGUGUAUGUGGUAGGCCUAUAUGCGAUACCUUAUAUGGACCUUGACACUGUUAUUUAUUUGGCAGUCUAUGGGACAGUCUCAAGCCUCCAGGUUUUCAUCCAAAAUAUCUUAAAUUGUAAAUGGACGACUGACUAAAGCGAGUAACAGUAAUCCAUUCUUGAGGAGAUCAAAUAAUGUAUCACCAUUUUAUUUCAAGACUUCUGAACAUCAUGCACGAUUUCAUCUGGGCUAAAUUACGGAAGUGAAAAUGUUUUAUUUUUCAACGCAAUGUGCUUAUCCAACAUGAGGAGGCUUGAUGGACAUAAAAGGAAGGAAAUAGAAAGCUAUGAAAGCAUAAGGAACCGUUUAUCACUCAUUCCGGACAUUUUGUUGAAACACGUGUGUGAGCCAAUCAUCUCAAGAGCUAACGGAUUAUGAAAUUUGCCUUUUGAUGAACGCUCAUCCGUUCUGUCGGGAUGUUUUCGAGUGUCUGACAUUUCAUUUUUUUUAAUAUGUCUUGUAUGCUAUAUAUCAAUUUGUAGCCUUGAUAUACACCACAGUGUACUUUUAGUUUCGGUUUUCAAUGUAAGCUAUUUGUUCGAAGUUUUAAAACAAAUUCAUGCAUAAAUAUCAAUGUCCAUGGCUUACAGGAUUAUAAACAUUAUGUUAUUAUGG